CCAUCUAUAUCUCUCGGUCUCUCCUACCGACGGAGUUGCAAUCCUGUCCUCCCAUAUGUUCCUCCUACCUCCUCAAUCUCUGGCCUGCGUGCGCCACCACCGCCGCUCCCGACCGCUACCUCCCCGACGAUGCCCGCGCCCGUCCGACUGCGCCUCCCAACCUGCGUGCGCCGCUCCCGACAGCCGCCUCCCCGCUGACGCCGCUCCCGACCGGUAGCCUCCCUGACGCGGCUCAGCAACCCCUCCCCGCCACGGCCGCGCCUGCCGGACGCCUCCCCGACGCGGCCCAGAAAGCCUCCCUGUCACAGCCGUGUGUAGCGCCGGCCCGCGCGCACCUGAAGCACCGGGUCUGUCGCGCGCGCUUAACACGCCGCCGCCGACUUGGGUCGACCGCGCGCAUCCGGCAGUGACGCAUUUCUCCCCGCCGAGCACACCAGCGACGCCGUCAUGCCCCUCCCCGCCCCGCAACGCCGACCCCGGCGUUGCCUGGUGCAGGAGUUCUUCAACACCUCGCUCACCAGAUAUUGAACGUGUCGUGUCGCGCGCGACACGAGGUUGCCAUGCUGCGGCAUGGUGGCGGCAAGAAAUAUGCGGCUGGUGCUCUGAGAAUCUGACUCCGUGGCGCACCGGCAGCCAAGGCUUCCAGUCCCCAGCAACGAGUGCUGCAGGUUUGGGCACCAGGUAUUGGCGAGCUAUGUGUUGGUGGCCGCUAUUUUAGUGGUUUGAUUCCAGUUUUGGUUUUGCUUCCUGGAGCGUCAAGCUAAUCCUUUUUUUGGCCUCAUUGAUUAGUGAGUGACUAGGUUCGUGCCCGUGCGUUGCUACGGGCAUAAAUUAAUAAAUUGCAUUCUAAUCUUAGUAGCAAGCAAAUAUUUAAUAAAUUGCCCAUGACGUUGCUAGUAUUAUAUGACAGUCCAAGGCAUAUAUACAUGCAGCACAUCCAAUUUGUUUAAUGAAGCAUACUGUGCAUCUCAAAUUCACUCCUAUUUCUUUUCAAAAAAAAUCACUCCUAUUGUAGGUGAAAAAAAACUCAUGGUGAGUCAUCUAUUAAGUUAUAACAAGGGUUCACCAUUGCUAUUGAAUCUUUACGCAGAGUGUUGCAGGGUAAUUUCAUCUUCAUGCACAGAUUCUUUCUGCUCCUGAUGGCCAAACUUCAGCCUUUGCAUGACCACUCAAAUUCAAUGCCCCUAACAGGGUGCUGCUGACCCUGUUUCCUAUCAAUGAAAAUCAUUCAGGUGAGAUCUCUGCCAGCCAUGAAAAAAUUAAUCCAAGGCCGCAAAAGAAAAACAAUGGGUUCUCGACAGCUGCAGCUAAGACAUAUGCAAUAAUUCAAUGCUCGUGAAACAUUGAGAAUGCAUGGUGGAAGGCAAAAUUAUGCAGGAACAGUAUUGCACCUACAUUCAUCUGCACUCUCAGCAGGGCUGGAAGAAGGGGGCAGUUGAGUUUGAUCUUCUGAAUUGUUAUGGUUACCACUUGAUUGGGUAUUCUCAUGAUUUUCUUCCAAUCUAUCAGAAGUCUCCAGGUAGAAUGAAACAAUCUAAAGUAAAACAAGCAGUUCACUGCAGAUAACUAUUAUGAGCUGAAUGUAUUUGUAAUUUUGUAUUUAUGGCGUGUAUCGAAAUCGUUGUUCUAAUCAAUAAGACUUGUCAACCAUGAGAUUUGCAACAUCUCAGAUCCUUGUUCACAA